UACGGAGGGUGCGAGCGUUGUCCGGAAUCACUGGGCGUAAAGGGCGCGUAGGUGGCGGCCCAAGUCCGUGGUGAAAGCUCGCCGCUUAACGGCGAGUCGGCCACGGAGACUGGGUGGCUCGAGCACUGUAGGGGCAGAUGGAAUUCCGGGUGUAGCGGUGGAAUGCGUAGAGAUCCGGAAGAACACCAGUGGCGAAGGCGGUCUGCUGGGCAGUUGCUGACACUGAGGCGCGACAGCGUGGGGAGCAAACAGG
rnacentral:rRNA from 1 species